AUGGUGACUGAAGGUUCACGCACUCCGUCGCCGGGUCGCCGCCGUGUCUCGGCCUCGCCGGUGGUGCGCCGAGGCCGGAGCCCGACGCGGCGUGGCUGCCGCGAGGUGGUGGUGCAGCAGGAGGUCGUUCACCAGGCCAGCAGCACCGUCGUCUACCCGCCGCUGACGGCGACGAACUACUUCGAGUGGUCGCUGAUCAUGAAGGUGAACAUGGAGGCCCAACGCGUGUGGGACUCCAUCGAGGGAGGCGGGAGCUUCAGCCAGGACAGGGCGGCGCUUGCGGCAAUUCUGCAAGCCGUGCCGGAGGAGAUGCACUCCACGCUUGCCGUGAAGGCGACGGCAAAGGAGGCAUGGGAUGCCAUCAAGAUCAUGCGGGUCGGCGAUGCCCGCGUCCGUGAGGCCAAGGCGCAGACUCUCCUCAAGGAGUUUGAUGCCGUCCGCAUGAGGAGCGGCGAGACCCUCGAUGAGCUCGCCAUGCGCAUGAACGAGAUCGCCAACAAGCUGUGCACGCUCGGCGAGAACCUCGACGUGGUGAAGGUCGUGAAGAAGCUUCUCCGCAUCGUGCCAUCCAAGUAUACCCAGGUAGCUAUUGCCAUUGAACAGCUUCUUGAUCUUAAAACCAUGUCCAUGGAAGAUCUUGUGGGAAGGCUCAAAACGGCGGAAGACCGGAGCGACUUGGACAAGGGCGCCAACAACUACGACCAAGGUGGUAGGAGUCGCCUGCUCCUCACGGAGGAGGAGUGGCUUGCUCGCCACCGCAGCGGCGCCGGCAAGAAGAAGGGCAACUUCGACAUACGCAAGGUGCGUUGCUACAACUGCAAGAGUACAGACACUACUCCAAGGACUGCACCGAGCCAAGGAAACAGCGGGCGCUUCUUGCUGCCGCGACGGCCGACGACGAGCCGGGGCUGCUGUGAUGCUACGGCAUGGGAGUUCGAAUAA
rnacentral:rRNA from 1 species